rnacentral:rRNA from 1 species
UAGGGAAUAUUAGUAGUGGGCGAAAGCCUGAACUAGCAACACCGCGUGUGCGAAGAAGGCCUUCGGGUUGUAAAGCACUUUUUGAGAGGAUGAGGAAGGACGGUACUCUCAGAAUAAGUCUCGGCUAACUACGUGCCAGCAGCCGCGGUAACACGUAGGAGGCGAACGUUAUCCGGAUUUAUUGGGCGUAAAGCGCGUGUAGGUGGUUUGGUAAGUAGAGCGUGAAAGCUCCUGGCUCAACUGGGAGAGGUCGUUCUAAACUGCCAGACUAGAGGAUGGUAGAGGGAGGUGGAAUUCCGGGUGUAGCGGUGGAAUGCGCAGAUAUCCGGAGGAACGCCAGUGGCGAAAGCGGCCUCCUGGACCACUCCUGACACUCAGAUGCGAAAGCUAGGGUAGCAAACG